rnacentral:rRNA from 1 species
UACGAAGGGUGCAAGCGUUACUCGGAAUUACUGGGCGUAAAGCGUGCGUAGGCGGUUUGUUAAGUCCGCUGUGAAAGCCCUGGGCUCAACCUGGGAAUUGCAGUGGAUACUGGCAAGCUAGAGUGCGGUAGAGGAUGGUGGAAUUCCCGGUGUAGUGGUGAAAUGCGUAGGUAUCGGGAGGAACACCAGUGGCGAAGGCGACUACCUGGCCUGUUCUUGACGCUGAGGCGCGAAAGCUAGGGGAGCAAACGGGG